GUUUUUAUACGACCGCAAAAAUUAAAAAAUUUUUGGUCGUAUAUUGGUAUGACGUUGGCGUCGUCGUCGUCGUCGUCGUCGUCGUCGUCCGGCGUCGUCCGAAGACACAUUGGUUUUCGCACUCUAACUUUAGUUUAAGUGAAUGGAUCUCCAUGAAAUUUUACCAUAAGGUUCAAUACCACGAAAGAAAGGUUGGGAUUGAUUUUGGGGGUUAUGGUACCAACAGUUAAGGAAUUAGGGGCCAAAAAGGGGCCAAAAAUAAGCAUUUUUGUAACUUCCAGACAAUAACUUGUGUAUAAGUGUAUGGAUCUCUCUGACAUUGUACCACAAGGUUCCAUAUCACAAAGGAAAGGCUGUAAUUGAUUUUGGGGGUAAUUGCCUCAAAAUUUUAGGAAUUAGGGGCCAAAAAAGGGGCAAAAAACAAGCAUUUUUCUAGUUUCAUGACAAUAACUUGUGUGUAAGUGUUUGGAUAUUUCUGAAAUUGUACUACAAGGUUCCAUAUCACAAAGGGAAAGCUGGAAUUGAGUUUGGGGGUAAUUGCCCGAAACGUUUAGGAAUUGGGGGCCAAAAAGGGGCCAAAAAUAAGCAUUUUUCUAGUUUCCAGACAAUAACUUGUGUUCAAGUGUAUGGAUCUCUCUGAAAUUGUACUGCAAGGUACCAUACCACAAAGGGAAGGCUGGGAUUGAGUUUGGGGGUGAUGAAUCAUAAGGGGGUUCAAAAAAUUUGGGGGGGGAUUUUUUUUUUUCUUUUUUUUUCUUUUUUUCCUUUUUUUUUUCUUUUAAAAUUUUCCAUUUUAAGUUGGUUAUUUCUGAUUAAUAUUUAAAAGCAAAUAAUAAUGAUAUGGUAGGAGAUACACACCAAACAGGAUGUGUAAAUUAUUAUCUAAUAAGUAUUGUGCAAUAGCAAGAAAUUUUCAAUUGCACAGUAUUGCACAAUAGCAAGAAAUCUUCAAUUGCACAGUAUUGCGCAAUAGCAAGAAAUCUUCAAUUGCACAAUAUUGCGCAAUAGCAAGAAAUAUCCAAUAGCACAAUAUUGCGCAAAAGCAAGAAAUUGUCAAUUGUACAGUAUUGCGCAAUAGCAAGAAAUAUUCAAUUGCACAGUAUUGUGCAAAAGAAGAUACUUCGUAUAAAUUGCUUAUUUCUUGAUCAAUUUCAAUGGGGUUUUAUUCUUGAAUUCUUGGGGUUCUUUAAUAUGCUGAAUCUAACCGUGUAUUAAGUUUUUGGAUUUUUGGCCCCGUUUUUAAAUUGGUCCACAUUGAGGUCCAAAGGGUCCAAAAUUUAACUUUGUUUGAUUGCAUCAAAAAUUGAAUUAUUGGGGUUCUUUGAUAUGCUGAAUCUAACCGUGUAUUUAGAUUCUUAAUUUUUGGUUCCGUUUUCAAAUUGGUCUACAUUGAGGUCCAAAGGGUCCAAAAUUAAACUUAGUUUGAUUUUAACAAAAAUUGAAUUUUUAGGGUUCUUUGAUAUACUGAAUCUAAACAUGUAUUUAGAUUUUUGAUUAUGGGCCCAGUUUUCAAGUUGGUCCAAAUCGGGGUCCAAAAUUAAACUUUGUUUGAUUUCAACAAAAAUUGAAUAUAUGGGGUUCUUUGAUAUGCUGAAUCUAACCAUGUAUUUAGAUUUUUGAUUUUUGGGCCCCGUUAUCAACUUUGUCCACAUUGAGGUCAAAAGGGUCCUAAAUUAAACUUUGUUUGAUUUCAUCAAAAAUUGAAUUCUUGGGGUUCUUUGAUAUGCUGAAUCUAACCAUGUAUUUAGAUUUUGGAUAUUGGACCAUAAUAGGUGAAUGUCCAAUUUAAAAUUUUUAAGUUCUUAGACCACAUUCAUUCUGUGUCAGAAACCUAUGCUGUGUCAAAUAUUUAAUCACAAUCCAAAUUCAGAGCUGUAUCAAGCUUGAAUGUUGUGUCCAUACUUGCCCCAACUGUUCAGGGUUCGACCUCUGCGGUCAUAUCAAGCUGCGCCCUGCGGAGCAUUUUAUUGUAACUUCCAGACAUAACUUGUGUGUAAGUAUAUGGAUCUCUCUGACAUUGUACCACAAGGUUCCAUAUCACAAAGGGAAUGCUGGGAUUGAUUUUGGGGGUAAUUGCCUCCAAAUUUUAGGAAUUAGGGGCCAAAAAGGGGCAAAAAACAAGCAUUUUUCUAGUUUCAUGACAAUAACUUGUGUGUUAGUGUAUGGAUCUCUCUGACAUUGUAUCACAAGAUUCCAUAUCACAAAGGGAAUACUGGGAUUGAUUUUUGGGGGUAAUUUCCUCCAAAUUUGGGGAAUUAGGGGCCAAAAAGGGGCAAAAAACAAGCAUUUUUCUAGUUUCAGGACAAUAACUUGUGUGUUAGUGUAUGGAUCUUUAUGAAAUUGUACUGCAAGGUUCCAUAUCACAAAGGGAAAGCUGGGUUGGAGUUUGGGGGUAAUUGCCCUAAACGUUUAGGAAUUAGGGGCCAAAAAGGGACAAAAAAACAAGCAUUUUUCUAGUUUCCAGACAAUAACUUGUGUUCAAGUGAAUGGAUCUCUCUAAAAUUGUACUGCAAGGUACCAUACCACAAAGGGA